UACGGAGGGGGCAAGCGUUGUUCGGAAUUACUGGGCGUAAAGGGCGCGCAGGCGGCUGCUCAAGUCAGGCGUGAAAGGCCUGGGCUCAACCCGGGAAUUGCGCUUGAGACUGGGCUGGCUUGAGUGCGGGAGAGGAUGGUGGAAUUCCCAGUGUAGAGGUGAAAUUCGUAGAUAUUGGGAAGAACACCGGUGGCGAAGGCGGCCAUCUGGACCGAGACUGACGCUGAGGCGCGAAAGCGUGGGGAGCAAACAGG
rnacentral:rRNA from 1 species